UUAUCACUUUCUGCUUCAGGGGAAAAAGCUGUAUGAGCUAGCCCUUCUAGUCAUCGUUUCCCAACAUGCAUCAUCAUCAUAACAGGCGGAGGAAAAGAGUUAAAUAUCCCGCUGCCGGUAUAUUUACGUAGAUUCAUUUCAGCAAAAAUAUGAGUGCUAAACAGUUGUUGUCAUAUGAAACUGUUGUCCAUGCACUUGCUGGUGCGGCAGGAGGAGUUACUGCAAUGACAAUAUUUUUUCCUUUGGAUACAAUACGCUCUCGUUUACAAGUUGAAGAUUCUCGAGAGGCAAAAAAUACAGUACUGCUCUGAAAGAUUUAAUUGAGGAAGAAGGGAUUAACAGAUUUGUCAGCUUUCAUUUCGACUGGAUUCAAAUAUUGUUCUUACUACUAAUCGGCUGUAAGCAGGACUUAAUUUCUAAAAUUAGAAGAGCCGGAGCCCUACCGUAGACCCACAGGAAAAAGGAACAAGAAGAAAUAAAUUAAUAAAAUCAUUAAAAAAAUUAGUUAUUAAAGUGAUUAAUAAUUAAAGAAAUAUAUUAAAAUGUA